rnacentral:rRNA from 1 species
GAUGAACGCUGGCGGCGUGCUUAAUACAUGCAAGUCGAACGGACAAGGUCAGAUAGCUUGCUAUUUGACUGAGUUAGUGGCGAACGGGUGAGUAAUACGUAGGCAACCUGCCCCAAAGCGGGGGAUAGCAGUUGGAAACGACUAUUAAUACCGCAUAGGUAAUCGGGAGGCAUCUUCUGAUUAUUAAAGGUGCGUUUGCACCGCUGUGGGAUGGGCUUACGCUGUAUUAGCUUGUUGGUGAGGUAACGGCCCACCAAGGCGAUGAUACAUAGCCGGUCUGAGAGGAUGAACGGCCACAUUGGGACUGAGACACGGCCCAGACUCC